UUUCGGAUACGGUGGAAAUCCCGGGUUAGGGGUGAAAAACUGCCACUGUCGCACCUUCAUGUGGUUUGAUGCCUUUCAAAUAAACCGGACAGUUAUAACGUCGGCUCAUUCCGGGCGGUGUUCUGCCAAAUAAACUCUGUUUUGAAAGUCAUCCUUUCUCCACCACAUAAACAAUGAACGAAACACUAAUUUUCUACUUUCACUUCAGUGUCCGUACAUUAAAUGUGUUUGACAGCAGCAGACAAAGUGGCGAGCCGUCAAGUGCUUUACUCAAGACCAAAGAGCGGUACUGAAGAAGAACCUUAGACCCGUAUCCAUGGUUACAUAGACGCACUUUACAUUUGUAAGUCGAUCCACUUUACUUUCACUCCUCGAACAAACCAACAAAGUUCACCUGGAACUAAACUAAGAGUUUGAAUGAGUUUUUUCACCACUCCAGAACAACCGUCUCUCAGUUCAAGUGGACCGAACAGCUCUGGCAUAAAUGUGACCUCAAAGAGGAGGUGACGUAUGUCGACCUCAUCCACAUGGGUUUGUCUCUGCAUGUUGAGCUCCUUAAAACGCCUCUUUAGGUGCAGAUUUGUGAAGACUCUUGUCAUGUGGACAGAAGGAACGAAAGUUUGUCACCUCAAUUUGUGCAUGUUUGUAAAUUGUGUGCAUGCCCAAGAUGGCGAGCUAUCGGCCUCUUCUCCAGUAAAGCAGAGUAUUUUUUUUUCUCCUCCUGUCAUUGUUUGACUUAAUGAUGCGUGAAAGAUUAGGGGCCGGUCCGAUCAUGUGUAAGUCACAUUCAGGUUAGUGUUCGAUGUCUGCUUUGGAAAUCAAACUCAUCUGGAGCGUCUGUCAGAGUCUGUUCUCCUGUAAGGGUUGUUCAAACCUUUGAAGACAAACGUUGAAAAAUGUCGACGCAGUUGUAGAAAAUUUGUCUCGUAGCAUAUUCAUCUUCAGAGUUGGAGGGAAUUAUCCGAGUUUGACAUUGUUCUCAUUUUACAGUCUCUUUGUGAAACCGCCGAGGACCCUGCCGCAAAUAUUUAAUAAGAGCGCGGUUUGAAAACAGCAUCCUGCUCGACAUUUAUGAGGAAUUAUUCAGCCGACAUAAAUUUGAAUGAAAGACCAGAGUUCAGCCGUGAAAGCUUUUAAUAGAACAGAAGAAGAAGAAGAGGUACCGGCGUAAAACCGGACCGUAAAAGGCCUGUUGUGUUAAUGAGGUGAGAGGAGGUCUUUGAUUCACUGACCUAAGAGAGCCUCAACAGGACAAAUCUCCAUCAAAUCCCUCUGGUUAUGGAGUGGUAAUCUGGUCUAAGUGAAGCUGAACCGUCGCCUCCACGGUGGGAGAAAGCUCCUCCUGGUCCAGGGAGUCAGGGGAGGUAUGACAGGCCUGCUCCGCCUCGAACCCAUCAGCUGAAUAAUUACAGCUAACCUGCUUCUCCACAGGGCUUUGCUGCUAUAAACGGCCUGCUGUCUCACACUAAUGGAAAAUUACAGCCGUGGCAGUGUUGCAACAGCAGACUCAGGUCACGGGGGACCCGGUUGGACGUAUUCAGGUCAGUAACAGUCUGGAGAAGAAGAGUGAGGCCGUUAAGUAAAGAAACACACGAGCAAAUAGGAGGCGACUUUCCCUGUUGUUUCCUGUGACUCCUCGGAUCCCAGAAAUGUCCUGUUUCUGCACGUCAACUCGACGGUGGGGUCCUCUGAGGUUUCCUUUACCGCGGACCGUCACGACAGGGUUCCAGUCCUGACCUGUCAAACCCAGCAGGGGGGCGUGGACCUGAAUGUAAAGCCUCAGCACAAAGGAAUGAGCGGAGGAAGGAUUAAAUGAGAACACACUGUUUUAAUUUGAAGGGACGGC
rnacentral:lncRNA from 1 species